rnacentral:rRNA from 1 species
GACGAACGCUGGCGGCGUGCCUAAUACAUGCAAGUCGAGCGGACGAAUCGAAAGCUUGCUUUUGAUUCGUUAGCGGCGGACGGGUGAGUAACACGUGGGCAACCUGCCCUGUAGACGGGGAUAACACCGAGAAAUCGGUGCUAAUACCGGAUAACACGAAAUGUCGCAUGACGUUUCGUUGAAAGACGGCGCAAGCUGCCGCUACAGGAUGGGCCCGCGGCGCAUUAGCUAGUUGGUGAGGUAACGGCUCACCAAGGCGACGAUACGUAGCCGACCUGGGAGGGUGAUCGGCCACACUGGGACUGAGACACGGCCCAGACUCCUACGGGAGGCAGCAGUAGGGAAUCUUCCGCAAUGGACGAAAGUCUGACGGAGCAACGCCGCGUGAGCGAAGAAGGCCUUCGGGCCGUAAAGCUCUGUUGUUAGGGAAGAACAAGUAACGCAGUAACUGGCGUUACCGUGACGGUACCUAACGAGAAAGCCACGGCUAACUACGUG